rnacentral:rRNA from 1 species
GACGAACGCUGGCGGCGUGCUUAACACAUGCAAGUCGAACGGAAAGGCCCUGCUUUUGUGGGGUGCUCGAGUGGCGAACGGGUGAGUAACACGUGAGUAACCUGCCCUUGACUUUGGGAUAACUUCAGGAAACUGGGGCUAAUACCGGAUAGGAGCUCCUGCUGCAUGGUGGGGGUUGGAAAGUUUCGGCGGUUGGGGAUGGACUCGCGGCUUAUCAGCUUGUUGGUGGGGUAGUGGCUUACCAAGGCUUUGACGGGUAGCCGGCCUGUGAGGGUGACCGGCCACAUUGGGACUGAGAUACGGCCCAGACUCCUACGGGAGGCAGCAGUGGGGAAUAUUGCACAAUGGGCGGAAGCCUGAUGCAGCAGCGCCGCGUGCGGGAUGACGGCCUUCGGGUUGUAAACCGCUUUCGCCUGUGACGAAGCGUGAGUGACGGUAAUGGGUAAAGAAGCACCGGCUAACUACGUG